AUUCAUCUCCGCCGCUUCGUUGCUCUCCAAAGCUCCUCUCCUCUCCCCUUCCAUUUUUCUUUUCAUUUCUUUGUUCCUUUCUUCUUUUUGUUGUUUUUUAUUUGGUCCUUUUUUCUCUGUUUUUCCUUCCUGUUUCCCCCCUCCCCCCUUUUCCCCUUCUUCUCUUUCCUUUUUUCAAUUAUAUGAUUCUAACUGAUUUUUUUCUCUUGCUAGAAUUGGUCUGGAUAUGAAGCUACUAAACGCAUGAGACACAAAAAUCAUCUUAAUUGAUUGCGGACAAUGGAUUGAAAGUCCACGAGAAGGAGAAAAAGAAUCAACUUUCCAGAUAGGGAUCUCAUUUUUCUUUUAAUAAAUUGAGGGAAAAAUGGAAGAGAAGUCGACGGGAAGAAGAAAAAAAGAUUUAAGUUUUCAAGAUUGAGGAACAUCACAAGGAAAUACUAAAGGGAGGAGAAAAAGAUUUAGCUUUUCAGGACAAGUCAAUAUUUCUAAAGUAGUAUAUGUUUGAGAGUAAGAGUAGGGAGAUGAUUGUCUACACAACCGAAGGAAGAAGCAAUCUUUAUUUGUGGUCCAGGAAUAAACAAAUGGUGAAGAUAGCCUUUAAGUGAGAAUAUCUUAAACUAGGUGACUUGGUUGAGCAGAUAUUGUGCACAUCCAUAUUUGGAACUCCAUAGCAUGUCAGCUUCCUUAUUUUGCUAUCUAAAUAGACUAUUUUGUAGUGUGAAAAUGUCAUCUUCUUUUGAUGGGCUUUUGAAUAACGAAUCAUUAGUUUCUUUUCAUUGAUUAAUUUUAUAGAUUGAUUACACUUUUGUUGUUAGAGUAAGUUUUACUUGGUAAUAAAUUUGUAUAUUUCAUCUUUAACCUUUUGGGUUCAUUUCUUAAACUUCAAUAUUUAUAGGUAUAAACUUGUUGAAAAAAGGAUGAGAGGCAUUGGCAGUAUUCAACAUUUUGCUGACUUGCUAAAUUUGUCAAGAGAAUUUUCUUCACUUUCCUUGGAAUAUGCUUCUGCUGUUCUAUCGUCUAUGUGCAGGUUAUUAGUCAAGAUAUCUGACACUUCUUUAGGCUUUGUUGUUCUAGGCCCAAUCAGAUAUCUUUAUACUUACUGUUAUUUGAUUGUGUGGCUUGAGUUCAAAUUAAGUAAAUUAUUUGAGAGAAUGCUUAAUGAUUUGUUUGGCUUGUUUUGCUUAGCAAUGAGUCAAAGCCCGAAGAGUGGAAGAACUCUUACCGUUUCCCUUGCAUUAUCAUGAUUGAAGUGCCAUGCAUCCCUAGAAUCAAGAUUGGAAUUAUUUCUAUGUCUGUCCUGCAUGGAUCUACAGUGAUUAUUUAUUAGCCUCAUUUUUGGAUACAUAUUAUUGUAGACAUUAUGUACCUUUUACAUUUUAAAUAAGAGGUUUCGUUUGUAAA